rnacentral:rRNA from 1 species
AUUGAACGCUGGCGGCAUGCCUAAUACAUGCAAGUCGAACGAGAGGAAGGAAAGCUUGCCCUUCUGAAUCUAGUGGCGAACGGGUGAGUAACACGUAGGUAACCUGCCCAUGUGCCCGGGAUAACUUCUGGAAACGGAUGCUAAAACCGGAUAGGUAGCAGACAAGCAUUUGACUGCUAUUAAAGUGGCUAAGGCCAUGAACAUGGAUGGACCUGCGGUGCAUUAGCUAGUUGGUGAGGUAACGGCCCACCAAGGCGACGAUGCAUAGCCGGCCUGAGAGGGCGGACGGCCACAUUGGGACUGAGACACGGCCCAAACUCCUACGGGAGGCAGCAGUAGGGAAUUUUCGUCAAUGGGGGGAACCCUGAACGAGCAAUGCCGCGUGAGUGAGGAAGGUCUUCGGAUCGUAAAGCUCUGUUGUAAGAGAAAAACGACAUUCAUAGGGAAUGAUGAGUGAGUGAUGGUAUCUUACCAGAAAGUCACGGCUAACUACGUGCCAGCCGCCGCAGUAAAAC